CCUACGGGAGGCAGCAGUGAGGAAUAUUGGUCAAUGGACGAGAGUCUGAACCAGCCAAGUAGCGUGAAGGAUGACUGCCCUAUGGGUUGUAAACUUCUUUUAUAUGGGAAUAAAAUGUUCCACGUGUGGGAUUUUGUAUGUACCAUAUGAAUAAGGAUCGGCUAACUCCGUGCCAGCAGCCGCGGUAAUACGGAGGAUCCGAGCGUUAUCCGGAUUUAUUGGGUUUAAAGGGAGCGUAGGUGGAUUGUUAAGUCAGUUGUGAAAGUUUGCGGCUCAACCGUAAAAUUGCAGUUGAAACUGGCAGUCUUGAGUACAGUAGAGGUGGGCGGAAUUCGUGGUGUAGCGGUGAAAUGCUUAGAUAUCACGAAGAACUCCGAUUGCGAAGGCAGUUCACUGGACUGCAACUGACAUUGAGGCUCGAAAGUGUGGGUAUCAAACAGGAUUAGAUACCCCAGUAGUC
rnacentral:rRNA from 1 species